GCCUUCGUGGUGUAGUGGUCAGCACGAUGGUAUUCCAGAGGUCCGUGGUUCGAUUCCCGGCGAAGGCG
rnacentral:tRNA from 1 species